rnacentral:lncRNA from 1 species
AAAUAUUUCUCACCUGCAAACUCAUCACUGAUCGCCUGUGGUGGUUUUUCCUCGUCUGCACCGACUAGUUUUAAGCUCUCCUCUCGCGAUUUCAAGAUGUUGAAUCUAGCCAUGAUGGAAUCUGCAUGCUUACCAUCGACUAUCUCAGACCAUUGCUGCUCUUGCGUAUGUAUGGGAUUCAGGUUCUCCUCUCGCGAUUUCAAGAUAUUGAAUCUGGUUAUGAUGGAAUUUGCAUCAACUAUCUCGGACCGUUGCUGCUCUUCCGCAUUUAUGGUUUUCAGGUUCUCCUCUCGAGAUUUCAAGAUACUGAACCUGGCUAGGACAGAAGACUCGAUACAAUCAGCACGCCCGCCCACGCCAGAAGCAGAUACAUUUGGUGAGGUGGGUUUAGGGGAUGUGUCGACACAAGCCUUGGGAGCCAGCACAGACA